AGCGUGCCUGUCCACCACGAAAACCUAAAUUGAAGUUCCGAUAUCAUUUUACAAAGUCAACGUAAAUAAUCGCCCAUAAAAUGAUGAAAAAGUAGAAUAACCAACAACACUAUGUUUACCGUCGAGUGGGUGCACCCUGGGGAGAUGGGGGAUAAUUAACUGGGGAUUUAAAUACGCAAGUACGCUCGCUAGCGCUUUAUAGCAGCUGCUGAGGCCUUGCAAAUCCCAGGAGAAUUCAAGACGAGAGUUUCACUUUUGACGGUUAUUGAUCAUUAAAUCGGUUCUUCCCUUUCAAUCCCCCUUAUAAAAGACUGUUGUACGCUGUAUUUCAAGCAUAGAAAGAUCGUCGUAAAAAGAAGAUAUUGUCUCUUCAAAUGGCACGACACUCGUUGGUGUUAUAAAGACGUUAUGUGUUACGCAUGACAAAGCGUCUUUCCCUCCAUCCGGGCAGAGCACAGUCCUCGCGGGGUUAUAGAGAAAUGAAGCAUUCCAAGAAAAGGCUUCCCGGCAGGAGCUUGAGUCCGAAGUUAUAUAUAUGCUGCAGACAGUAACUAUUAAAUAUUUAUUGUUUUGGUCUUAUCGAAAACUUUAAAGUCUUCGAAGUUUUGCCGUAGCAAUAAAUGAUUUCCAUCAUGAAUUCCUUCCAAUGAAUAUAUUUCUGCGCAGUUCAUUUGGAGUUGUAAGCGUGUUUGUGCACUGCUGUGUUCAAGGCAAAGCGUGGGCAGCGCCAGGUGCGGCCCGGUUACCGGCCGUGUGGUCCCAGGGUGGCCGACGAUGCAUAUAUAUAGAGAGAGAUAGAGAGAGAGAGAAAAGAGAGCAAGAGAGGUAGCAGAAUACUGACAAACGACCCCUGGCCAGUGGAUCUUCUCGUCACUCGCCAGUUCGUCCAGCCUUAAAGAAUGGGUCCCUCCGUCAUCGUGGCCCUGCUGGUAGGCAUCAGCCAUGCUGCAGGGUUGGCGCCGUGCGCGGUAGACUGUUCUCAGCAAACUGGUGAGCACUUAACUGCAGACCCGGUUAACUGCAAAAAUUAUUAUAUUUGCUUUGAUUCUGUGGAUCACAGCACAUUUUCAUUUACCUGCGAGGGUGACAUGUUUUUUGAUACAACUACAAAUACCUGUCGCGAAUAUGACUUCACCUGCUCUCCUGAAUGUGAAAAAUGUUCUUUUGAUUGUUCUGAUCCAGUUUUGGGGAAAAUAUCAAGCCCAGUUGACUGUGGUGUUUACUAUACAUGCAACACUGGUGAAUGGCAUGUGUGCCCUUCUGAAACACCCUAUUUCAAUGGAGACGUUUGUCAGUUAGACGAGAAGAGUUGCUGUACCUGCAAGUCCCACUGCAGCCAGAGUGACGUGGAUGCCCACGCCAUGAUCCCGGACUAUUACAACUGUACCAACUAUUACCUAUGCAUACAAACAGGAAUCCCUGAAGAGAUUACUCACGGCCACUGUCCAACGGGUAAUUUUGAUAUAAUAUUAGCAACGUGUGACGACGAGGCUCCUUGCUUACAGCGCUGUGCUUGAGGUCUCAAGUGUCGCACUGUUUUCGAUACCAUCAGCAGCUCUCCUCAGGGCUGUCCAGUGGCCAUUGUGUCAGGACAGGAUGACGUCCGUAUCUCAUAUAAAUAUACUUAUAAAUAUA